ensembl:lncRNA
AGAAGUGCUCAGAUUAGAGAUCUACCCUGAAGGUUGGCUCAUCAGGGCUUACUGAUGAACACGUGAGGUAGAAAAGACAGAUGAUUCUAAGAUUUCUGAAAAGAGAUUAACCAGAACCAGAAUGACUUAAGAAAUGUUUUGUGAAAGAAGGAGUUCAGGGAUCUAGGUGGAUACUUUCAGGCUAGAGGACAGAUGUGUACAGACAAGAAAGAAAUCUGGGAGCAGAGGGGAGAGAGAGCUGGACAGGGGGUGCUCUGGACAGUCCCAGGGGAUACAGUUGAGGGUAGCAGUCAUGGCGGAGAGAAUAAGCACCUAUCAGAGUUCUGGAAGAAUACAGAAAGCAUAACACAUUGGGACAAGGGAGGAGCAGUGAAAGUGAAGUCGCUUAGUCGUGUCCGACUUUUUGCGACCCCAUGGACUGUAGCCUACCAGGCUUCUCGGUCCGUGGGAUUUUCCAGGCAAGAAUACUGGAGUGGGUUGCCAUUCAGUGAUGUUAUUAACCAGUCAAUCCUAAAGGAAAUCAAGCCUGAACAUUAAUUGGAAGGACUGAUGCUGCAGCUAAAGCUCCAACACUUUGGCCACCUGAUGCGAAGAACUGACUCAUUGGAAAAGACCCUGAUGUUGGGAAAGAUUGAAGCACCCUGAGAGACACUUCAAACGAACUGGUCCAGUGUCCUCCACUCUCUUUACAUCCCUUAGAACUAUGCUGACACGGUGCCUGCAGUACUGGUUCCUGCUAGUUGAAAUGAAGGGCUUCCCAGGUGGCUCAGUGCUAAAGAAUCUGCCUGCCAGUGCUGGAGACAACAGUUCAAUCCCUGGGUCAGAAAGAUCCCCUGGAGAAAGAAAUGCCAACCCACUCCAGUAUUCUUGCCUGGGAAAUCCCAUGGACAGAGGAGCCUGGCGGGCUACAGUCCAUGGGAUCGCAAAAUAGUCGGACACAACAGAGUGACUAAAACAAGCUGAAACUAAAUUCAUUUAACUAUUUGCAUUAACACAUUGAAAUUAGAACUAGAAUGUAAAUAAUUUUCUUUGUAUAAUCUCCACUGCUCACAGACUGACCUCUGUUUUACUCUUUUAAAAGUGACUGCAACCUACUCUGACCCUCAUUUUGGACCACUCUCCUAUGGGAGGUGUUGGAAACAGGCUGCUUUGCUCACCGUAUUCCAGAUGUGCUUUUCACACUUCAUGCCUUUGUGGCUCCUAAGCGGUGACUUGGAAGGCCCCAUCACAUUUUAUUUUUUAAGACAAAUGUGUUCUUUCUUUUUAAAGUUCUUUUAAUCUUUUUGCCAUACCACAUGGCAUCUGGGAUCUUAGUACCCCUCAUCCCCCAACUAGGGAUCAAAUCCACGCCCCCUGCAUUGGUGGCCCAGGGUCUUAACUACUGGAUCACUAGGGAAGCCCCUUUAGGCAAAUUCUUAAACUUUCUAAGCCUCGGUUUCCUCAUCCUUAAAUCCAGAAUAAUAGAGUCUGGCUCAGACUUGUCUGUGGUGAGAUCAGACACACAUUAUUAAUUUUCAAGUUUCAGCUCUUACCUACUAGCUGUGUGCUUUUAUCCAAACUCUCUGGCCCUGGCUUCCUCCUUCAUGCAAUGCGGCCAGGGUAGAAAGCAUCUUCCAGGGGCCUGUGCUUUGUCUAAGGUAGUACUGUCCUACCAGGCUUGCAGCUAUGUGCCCUUGGGCCCUCCUCAGUGUCUCUGGGCCUCGGUUUUCUUGGCUGAGGUCACUGUGAAGUGACAGUACUAGUAGCACCUGAUCUUUGUGGAGAUCAGUGAUGCUUAUUCAGGACUGAAACAUCCAAGGACUAAAAUGUAGUAGUUUCCUUUUAGUGGAGAUGGGUGACAGCAUUACAGCUGAUGUCACC